UACGUAGGGGGCAAGCGUUGUCCGGAAUCAUUGGGCGUAAAGCGCGUGUAGGCGGCUCGAUAAGUCUGCUGUGAAAAGUUCAGGGCUCAACCCUGAAAUGCCGGUGGAAACUGUCGGGCUAGAGUCCGGAAGAGGCGAGUGGAAUUCCUGGUGUAGCGGUGAAAUGCGCAGAUAUCAGGAGGAACACCAAUGGCGAAGGCAGCUCGCUGGGACGGUACUGACGCUGAGACGCGAAAGCGUGGGGAGCAAACAGG
rnacentral:rRNA from 1 species